GACAGAGGGGGCAAGCGUUGCUCGGAAUCACUGGGCGUAAAGGGCGCGUAGGCGGGAUGGCAAGUCGGUCGUGAAAUCCUUCGGCUCAACCGAAGAACGUCGGCCGAUACUGCCGUUCUUGAGGGAUGCAGAGGAGAUUGGAAUUCAUGGUGUAGCAGUGAAAUGCGUAGAGAUCAUGAGGAAGACCAGUGGCGAAGGCGGGUCUCUGGACAGUUCCUGACACUGAGACACGAAGGCCAGGGGAGCAAACGGG
rnacentral:rRNA from 1 species